rnacentral:rRNA from 1 species
GACAGAGGAGCCAAGCGUUGUCCGGAUUGACUGGGCGUAAAGCGCACGCAGGCGGAUGCGCGCGUGGGGUGUGAAAUCUGGCCGCUUAACGGCCAGGCGCCAUCCCAUACGGCGCGUCUGGAGUGAUGCAGAGGUCGAUGGAAUUGCCGGUGUAGUGGUGAAAUGCGUAGAGAUCGGCAGGAACACCCAGGGGGAAACCAGUCGACUGGGCAUCUACUGACGCUGAGGUGCGAGAGCGUGGGUAGCAAACAGG